rnacentral:lncRNA from 1 species
GAGCGGAGGCUGUUGUGAUCCUGAACUCAAAGUCAUCCCUCUCCCCACAGUGUCCCUGGGAGUCUCACCCUCCUAACAUGCUACCUCCUGCUUCCUCAUCACCAGAUGGCUGGUUCUCUCAUCCAGUGUGGAGGAGGUGCCUGGGAAGGUGGUUCCCCACUGCAGCGCACGUCCUGAUGGAGGUGAUGAAUUCCAUCUGUGCCACUCCCCUCCCACAGCUGAUCAGGUUCAGCGGCGAUGGGGGGGGUGGCAGCAAGUUUGACUCCCAUCUUCUCAGGUGGCUGCUUCACCCACAAUGCACUGUCCACCCAGCCAGCUCCCCGUCAAGCAAACCUCCUUCCCAUUGCAGCUUGCCCAUCCAUAAAAAGAUGCCUGAACUGGUUGUGUUCCCAAAUCCCUUCCUGCUCUAUGCUCCUGAGUUGACAACUGCAUACACAAGUGGGGCUGCUGUGAGAAUAGCUGCAUGCCUUUCAGUCCCAAAUGAAGCAGAGCUCAGCAGACUCCUGAAGAAAAGCAGGCCACUGUGUGGAUCAUGCAAAAAAGAUAAACAGAGAGAUGGAAACUGUUGACAAGGAGAGUAGAGAAAGGAAGACUCAGCAAAGCUUAAAAUUGGAUAAAAUACGAAGAGGUUGGAAGAAAGAGCCCUGAGAACAAGAAAGCGGAGGAGGAAGUAAGAAAUAUGGACAAGGAGGAACUAAAAUUCUGCAGAGCCGCUGAACUCUAGACUAAACCUGAUAGAAAGUAACAUUUCUUUGUUGCAGAUCUGCUAGGGGCCGCUGCUGUUGGGUUGCAACAGGAGUGCGCCCCCUGAUGUGGUGGACAGUGAUAGAUUGAAUGGUGCCAGCUGGAUCCUGCCUGGCACAUGGAUGCUGGGGUGGCUGCAGUGCAGAGCAGAAUAAGUGCAGGAACAGAUGGCUGAGGUGCAUUUAGUAUCUGUAACACAUUCAGUCCCUUUGAGACGCAUCCUUGGGACACAUUUUGUUUCCUCCCUCAGUUGGUAAAGCAAGAUAUUUUAAUAUUCUUAAUUAUCCCCUUCCAGAUAGUGUGUUUUUUAUAAAGACAAGAUGAAGCAGGGACUAGGGAAGGGCUUAUGGGUCGGUUGCUGCUGAGCCGGGAGGGCCAAAGGGAAAGGCAAACCACACUCCGUUGUUCUUUAGAUGGAGCCAGAGGACUCCACAGGGAGGUGUCAAGCCUCAUGACUGCCUUAUAUAAAUAUUGUAAGGAUUGAUCUGAUCAUGUUGGCAAACUGCUCUGAACUCCUGAGAGAAAGAGAGCUACAAAGCUAUGGUUUUAUUAUUCAUAACAUGAUGUGUGCUUACUGUUGGGAAAAGAUGCAAACUGCCUGCAGGUUGUAAUUUUACUCUCCCCGCUCCUUCUGGAUUGGGGACCAACAGCUUAGGUUUUUAUGCUUGAAAAAGAAGUCCCUUCAUCACAAUGACUCCCAUACAUCAGAAUAGAAUGAGAGCAGAGGAAGUCCGACAACUGCAACUCUUUUACCCCAGUGAGAUUUGCCCUAGUG